GUGAAGAACGUAGUGAAAUGCGAUAAGUAAUGUGAAUUGCAGAAUUCAGUGAAUCAUCGAAUCUUUGAACGCACAUUGCGCCCGCUAGUAUUCUGGCGGGCAUGCCUGUCCGAGCGUCAUUUCAACCCUCAAGCCCCCGGGCUUGGUGUUGGGGAUCGGCGAGCCUCCGCGCCCGCCGUCCCCUAAAUCUAGUGGCGGUCUCGCUGUAGCUUCCUCUGCGUAGUAGCACACCUCGCACUGGGAAACAGCGCGGCCACGCCGUUAAACCCCCAACUUCUGAACGUUUGACCUCGGAUCAGGUAGGAAUACCCGCUGAACUUAAGCAUAUCAAUAAGCGGAGGA
rnacentral:misc_RNA from 1 species